UGGGAGGAUCGCUUGAGCCUAGGAGUUCGAGGCUGCAGUGAGCUGUGAUUACACCACUGCACUCCAGCCUGAGUGACAGAGCAAGACCU
rnacentral:miRNA from 1 species